rnacentral:lncRNA from 1 species
GGCAGUCCAGCCGCAGGGGCCACCCGAACAGUCUCUCCUCCUCACAGAAGCCUGGAGCUGGGCAUCCAAGAAGAAGCAGCCUCAUUUGUUUUCUGGUGUCAUCGUAGGUGGCCACCUAUGGCUUUUGGGCUUCUCACCUGGGGCGGGUGGGUUCUGCACCACCCUCCCACCCUCCUUCCUCCGUGUGGACGAUAGAGCCACAUCCAGCACCACGGACAGCUCCCGGGCGAUCCCAUGGGAGUAGAAGAGGUGUGAGCAGGUUGCCCAGCUGGUUAGCGGAAAUGCCAAGAUCCAGGCUCCUGAAUUUCAGCCUGGCCCUUUCUAUCUGUCUGAUACCUCCUUUACGAGUCUCUCUGCCUGCGUUGUGUGGAGCGGGCCUGCUGCUGGUUGGGGGAGUUUGCAGGUUGCCCCUAUGCAAAAAAGGACAGGAUGCAUGACUGGCAUGUAAGACCAAAAAGAAGAAUGUACUUCAUCUGGUUGGGCUGGAUUCCCUCUGAUAAGCCUUCCCAGUUGACUGAAAGAUGAGGCUAGGCUCUAGCAAGUUGAAGUCAAACCAGCUCCUUCAAGAAGCUUUGAGCAGAAUGAAGUGGGGAGGACCCAGCUUCCAGCCCAGGAAGCCCACUGUACCUGGAGCCAUCUGGGAUAAGACUUUGACCCAUGACUCCCAUAUCCACAGCCUGUCCAUCCUAGCCCAUCCCAGUUUAUCCUGUAUCAUUUGAGCUGGGAUUCCCACAUCCUCUGAGUUGGAAGUCCCAUCUCAAGUCUUCAAUAAAGACUCUUGAAUAUUGAAUCACA